GAGCAAGUUACCCUCAAAUCCCAACUUUUGGAAGCCGAGUUAGAGGGAACAUCAAGACAAUUGAAGGAGGCCACUGCAAUGGCAGGGGAUGAAACUGCUAAAUGCAAGGCUGCAAAGGAAGUAAUUAAAUCUCUAACGGCGCAGUUGAAGGAAAUGGCUGAAAGGGUACCUGAGGGAUCUACUGCCAGCAGCAAAUUAGGUUCAACUGCCAGGCGGACAGCCAGUAUUCCAAUUUCUGUUAUGAAUGAGAGCCAUUUAAGCAGCCUGAACUCUCCACAACUGGCGUCUAAUGGUCUCUCCAUAAAUCCUGUCUCAUGCAAUGGAGCUAAUAGCCAAACUAAUCCAGCAGAAUGGGUGGUACAAGAUGAACCAGGCGUGUACUUGACUCUUAACUCUUUGCCAGGGGGUGGUAAAGAACUAAGGCGGGUACGCUUCAGGGAUACCUCUUUAUGGAUAUUGCUGCAAAGGUCUGGAAAACUACCAAGGAUACCUACUCUUAGGUUGGAAAUGAUGCCCAAUGCUACGAGUCAAGGAAAAGGAUUCAUGACACGAAACAGAAGCAACUGUCCAAACAUUACUCUACUCUACCAGUCGGAAACAUUUCACCGAGAAACAAGCGGAGAAGUGGUGGGUUGAAAAUAGGGUAAAUGUACACCAGCGGCAUGACAUCCGAAGUACAGAGAAAUGAGAGCAGGCCCACCAUCAGUGCCUCUACAAGAAAACAUUGGCAACCAGGUUGACUGACACCAUGAUAUAAAAGAUCUUUCAGUCUACCUGGAAUUGUAGAUCCUUUACUUCUUCCAUCUUGUUCUCUCAUAUGUGGAGUGAGCCACACUUGAAAAAUCCCUAGACCAGUGGGCAGCAUGUCGGUUGUGACGUAAGAAAGCAUGCAAGAAUUUGUACUUACUCUCAAGUAUCAAGAAUCAUUCGGUUAGGCUUCCAUCAAAGUAUCAUGGCCAGGAUUGUUCUAAGCCUAAUGGUUACCCUGAUCGGAGAUGGAAUGUAAGAUUGGGGAUCAUUUGGGCAAUCCCUAGUAUUUAAGGACGAGGGUCUGAGCUAUUAAUUUCACUGGAACAACUUGAAAAAUGACUUGCAGACAUGGCACAAGGGGAGCAACUGAAGAGUUGUGUUCUUGUCCAGAAGAAGUUAAUCCAUUAAGUAGCACAACUGGAAUUAGUUAAAGGCUCUCACUGAAAUGUGACCAGGUGCCCUUUUUAUUUAUUUAUUUUUUCCUCCUUUUUUUCAAUUAGAGGAAAGCAGGUUGUUUGUCUGUUCUAUAUCUGCUGUGGGUUUCAAAGGAAAUAUUCCAACAUUUUUUUUUU